UUUCGAUUGUCCUUGCGAUAAAUGUGUAUAUUUAUUUUAUUUGAGUAUAUUUAAUUGUUGAAGUGUUAGGAGGCGCCAGCGCACAUAAAUUUGCCGAGCGUCUGCUGUAAAUUACAGCUGAAGCAGCAACUGGCGCAUAAAUCUUAGCUCGCAACACGAUGGACAGUGUGAAAAGAAUGCAGCUAUGCAAAAGCACACACACACACACAUAGCGCGACAAAACUGAGGCAUUCACAAUUCACAGCUCACACUCAGCCAAGUCCUGGCCCGCAUCCGACCCACUCGAAGCGCCCAUCUGGGGCCACUUGAAUUACGUACGCCACAAGUGAAGUAAUGAGGAAGUCUCCCUCCCCCCCCCCCCCCCACCCUCCCUCGGGCAGAAACGGAAAAGGGAAAGCAAUGGCAACAAUUGCGUAAACGCCGAGGCGGAACCGGAUAUAAAUAUUAAAGCUUAAGGCUAUAUAAAUAUAUACUACUAUAUUUUCAAAAGUCUAACUAAUAAAUAAACUUUUCCAAGUGCCCGCAUUUAAGCAUGUGCAAAGCGAAACAUUCUCCAACUGCCUGACUGAUAAACGAUGCUAAUCCACAUCAAUAAAACAAAAAUAACAAAAAAAGGAACGAACUUAAAACAGAAUAAAGGAACCGAGAGGAUGGCUUUGGGGAAGGUCGAGCGGGAGAUGGAAGGUCACGCUGAUAUAUUUUCCCAAUAACAUGACAAAGUUGAUUGCAAACAAUCUAAUAGACUUUUCAGUAAUUUAGCGAAAAGAGAUUUAACUGAAAAUAGCAAAAAAUAAAUGGAAUUAUUUGUGUACAAGUACUUUGGAAGUGACAGUUAUAAAAGAUGAAAUGGCAAGCUCUUCAAAGCGAUUAUCAUUAAUCAAUAAGUGGAACUUUAAAGAUUU